GGGUGAGUAACACGUAAGGAAUCUACCUAUAAGCGGGGGAUAACAUUCGGAAACGGGUGCUAAUACCGCAUAAUAUCUUCUUCCGCAUGGAGGAAGAUUGAAAGACGGCUCUGCUGUCACUUAUAGAUGACCUUGCGGUGCAUUAGUUAGUUGGUGGGGUAAUGGCCUACCAAGACGAUGAUGCAUAGCCGACCUGAGAGGGUGAUCGGCCACAUUGGGACUGAGACACGGCCCAAACUCCUACGGGAGGCAGCAGUAGGGAAUCUUCCGCAAUGGGCGAAAGCCUGACGGAGCAAUGCCGCGUGAGUGAAGAAGGCCUUCGGGUCGUAAAACUCUGUU
rnacentral:rRNA from 1 species